AUUGAACGCUGGCGGCAGGCCUAACACAUGCAAGUCGAACGGUAGCACAGAGAGCUUGCUCUCGGGUGACGAGUGGCGGACGGGUGAGUAAUGUCUGGGAAACUGCCCGAUGGAGGGGGAUAACUACUGGAAACGGUAGCUAAUACCGCAUAACGUCGCAAGACCAAAGUGGGGGACCUUCGGGCCUCACACCAUCGGAUGUGCCCAGAUGGGAUUAGCUAGUAGGUGGGGUAAUGGCUCACCUAGGCGACGAUUCCUAGCUGGUCUGAGAGGAUGACCAGCCACACUGGAACUGAGACACGGUCCAGACUCCUACGGGAGGCAGCAGCGGGGAAUAUUGCACAAUGGGCGCAAGCCUGAUGCAGCCAUGCCGCGUGUAUGAAGAAGGCCUUCGGGUUGUAAAGUACUUUCAGCGGGGAGGAAGGCGGUGAAGUUAAUAGCUUCACCGAUUGACGUUACCCGCAGAAGAAGCACCGGCUAACUCCGUGCCAGCAGCCGCAGUAA
rnacentral:rRNA from 1 species